AUGUUCCCUCCCCGGUGUCCGAAGAUGCCUAGGCGGCCUCUGGAGCCUGGGGGACCGGCUUCGGGAUCAGGGUCACUGUGUCGUUGUCCUCCUCCUCCAGCUCCAGCUGACACUCUCCUGUCUCUCCUAACUGCUGCUGCUGGGGUUGCUCAACUCUAUGCUCCGGUAAUGGAGCCUGGGCUUCCCCAACGCCCAGAAUGUGAUCCAGAUCGUAGGAGUUCUGAUCUCAGGCCUUGGCGCACCCCCUGCCUCAGUUCUUUCAGCUUGGCCUGCAUUUGGUCUGAGGUGCAGGGGUGCUGCCUUCUCCUGGCCAGUCCCUGGGCCAAGCACCCAUAAAUGUCCACAUUCCUGCAGCACAACUGGAGGGCCUGCAAGGAUUCCUCCUCCGAUCAGAGCUCAAGCAGAAUCUUGAUCUAUGGUCCUGACCAUGCUGGUGCCCGAGUGCAUCCUCGACCGUCUCCCUGGAAGGGCCAGGAGAGGUCUUGGGGCUGUGACAUGGCUGGGUCACACUGUGACAGGAAGAGCCGUGCGGUGUGGCUGGCUUCCUGACACAAACAGCUGCCCGGAUGCCUGUGCCUUUAAAACAUGGCUGCUGACAGGAACAAUAGAGGUGCGAGGAAUAUAGCUAGUGUAUCCACCAGGGCUUUUUCCUGGAGGCUUUUUGUUCGGAAAAAACAGUUUCCCCGCGUCCACACACGCCUUUCUUCAAAAUAACUUUUUUGAAAAAGGUGUUAUUCCUCGUAAAAGGAGGUUUACUGCUGUC